CAGGGGUUCCUCUCAUGAUCAUGGGUUCAAUGCAGAGAUACAGACUCUUGGGAGGAUCCGACACAGGCACAUUGUUAGAUUAUUAGGGUUUUGCUCGAAUCAUGAGACAAAUCUUUUGGUUUACGAGUACAUGCCUAAUGGAAGUCUUGGGGAAAUGCUUCAUGGCAAGAAAGGCGGUCAUUUACAUUGGGAUACCAGGUAUAAGAUUGCCUUGGAGUCUGCUAAGGGUCUUUGCUAUCUCCAUCACGAUUGCUCUCCUUUGAUCCUCCAUCGUGAUGUGAAAUCAAACAAC
rnacentral:lncRNA from 1 species